rnacentral:rRNA from 1 species
GUGCCAGCCGCCGCGGUAAUACGUAGGGUGCGAGCGUUAAUCGGAAUUACUGGGCGUAAAGCGUGCGCAGGCGGUUAUAUAAGACAGAUGUGAAAUCCCCGGGCUCAACCUGGGACCUGCAUUUGUGACUGUAUAGCUAGAGUACGGUAGAGGGGGAUGGAAUUCCGCGUGUAGCAGUGAAAUGCGUAGAUAUGCGGAGGAACACCGAUGGCGAAGGCAAUCCCCUGGACCUGUACUGACGCUCAUGCACGAAAGCGUGGGGAGCAAACAGGAUUAGAUACCCUCGUAGUCC